ACCGGGGCUAUGCCUUAGUACGGCGAGUGAAGCGGCAAAAGCUCAAAUUUGAAAGCUAGCACCUUCGGUGUUCGCGUUGUAAUUUGAAGAUAGUUUCCUUGAGUAGUCCUUUAUCUAUGUUCCUUGGAACAGGACGUCAUAGAGGGUGAGAACCCCGUAUGAUUUUGGAUACUACUCUUUGUGGGAUUCUAUCGAAGAGUCGAGUUGUUUGGGAAUGCAGCUCUAAGUGGGUGGUAAAUUCCAUCUAAAGCUAAAUAUUGGCGAGAGACCGAUAGCGAACAAGUACAGUGAUGGAAAGAUGAAAAGAACUCUGAAGAGAGAGUGAAAAAGUACGUGAAAUUGCUGAAAGGGAAGGGCUUGAGGUCAGACUUGGUGUUUAAUGAUUAUCAGUUCUUCUUGGACUGUGCACUCGUUUUUCACCGGGCCAAUAUCAGUUUUAGCGGUAGAGUACCCCUUGAAAUGUGGCUUCCUUCGGGGAGUGUUAUAGUCUUGGGGAGAUCUACUUGCUGGGACUGAGGACUGCGCUUCGGCAAGGAUAUUGGCGUAAUGACCUUAAGCCGCCCGUCUUGAAACACGGACCA
rnacentral:rRNA from 1 species